rnacentral:rRNA from 1 species
AACGAACGCUGGCGGCAGGCCUAAAACAUGCAAGUCGAACGCCCUAGCAAUAGGGAGUGGCGCACGGGUGAGUAAAGCGUGGGAACGUGCCCUUCAGUACGGGACAACGUCGGGAAACUGACGCUAAUACCGUAUAAUAUCCCCGGGGCAAAGAUUUAUCGCUGAGGGAGCGGCACGCGUCUGAUUAGCUAGUUGGUGAGGUAAUGGCUCACCAAGGCUACGAUCAGUAGCAGGUCUGAGAGGAUGAUCUGCCACACUGGGACUGAGACACGGCCCAGACUCCUACGGGAGGCAGCAGUUAGGAAUAUUGGACAAUGGGCGAAAGCCUGAUCCAGCCAUGCCGCGUGUGUGAUGAAGGCCUUAGGGUUGUAAAGCACUUUCGUUGGGGAUGAUAAUGACCGUACCCAAAGAAGAAGCCACGGCUAAAUUCGUGCCAGCCGCCGCGGUAACAC